rnacentral:tRNA from 13 species
GUGAGGAUGGCCGAGCGGACUAAGGCGCCAGACUCAAGGACAACCUUCUCCUGCUGCAGGGCUGAGUGUUCUGGUCCACGAAUGUGGGCAUGGGUUUGAAUCCCACUUCUGACA